GACGAACGCUGGCGGCGCGCUUAACACAUGCAAGUCGAGCGAAGCGGCGGACGGGUGAGUAACACGUGAGUAACCUGCCUUAGACAUUGGGAUAGCCUCGGGAAACCGGGAUUAAUACCAAAUGGUCUAAGAUGGACUCGCGUCCCAUUAGCUAGUUGGUGGGUAACGGCCCACCAAGGCGACGAUGGGUAGCCGGCCUGAGAGUGUAUGAGGCCAAAGUGUGUCUGAGCACAGGUACUACGUCUGCGGGGGGCAGCAUGGGUGAAUGUUGCACAAUGGGCGCAAGCGUGAGGCAGCCAGGCCGCGGGUAUGAAGAAGGCCUGCGGGUUAUACAGUACUUUCAGUAGGGAGGUGUUAAGGUUAAUAACCUUGGCAAAGGACGUUCCCGACAGAAGAAGCUGCGGCUAACUCCGUGCCAGAAGCCGCGGUAAUAG
rnacentral:rRNA from 1 species